rnacentral:rRNA from 1 species
GACGUGGGGGGCGAGCGUUGUCCGGAAUUACUGGGCGUCAAGCGCGCGUAGGCGGGCUGGCAGGCGGCGUGUGGAAGGCGGGGGCUCAACCCCCGAUGGGCGCGCCGAACCGCUGGUCUUGGGACGGCGAGGGGCAGGUGGAAUGGUCGGAGGAGCGGUGAAAUGCGCAGAUAUCAGGAGGAACACCGGUGGCGAAGGCGGCACUCUGGGCCGGUACUGACGCUGAGGAGCGAAAGCGUGGGGAGCGAACAGG